rnacentral:precursor_RNA from 9 species
UGCAUCCCAUGUGGUGAAGGUUAUCUCCCAGUGUUCACUGUGUUAGCCUUGGUGUGUGGCGAACAAUUAAGGCACGCGGUGAAUGCCAGGAGGCGGCUUCAGGCAGCGAUCAUCUUAA